rnacentral:rRNA from 1 species
GACAGAGGGUGCAAACGUUGUUCGGAAUUACUGGGCGUAAAGCGCGUGUAGGCGGCAGCGUGUGUCGGGCGUGAAAUCCCAUGGCUCAACCAUGGAAGUGCACCCGAAACUGCGCAGCUAGAGUCCUGGAGAGGAAGGCGGAAUACUUGGUGUAGAGGUGAAAUUCGUAGAUAUCAAGUGGAACACCGGUGGCGAAGGCGGCCUUCUGGACAGUGACUGACGCUGAGACGCGAAAGCGUGGGUAGCAAACAGG